AAUACAAGUGAACAUUUGUCAGGUAUGUGUCACAAGUAUUUACUCCAUAUUCUGUUUGCUUAUUCACUUUUUAACAGUCUUUCGAAGAACAGGUUUUAAUUUUGAUCUUUUUCUUUAUGGUUAAUACUUUCUGGAUCCUUUAGAGAAGCCUUUGCUGACACCAGGCUUAAAAAGAUUUCUCCUAUGUUUUCUUUUAGAAGCUUUAUAGUUUUAGCUUCUACGUUAAUGCAGAUCCAUUUAAUUAACUUUUCAGUGUGGUAUGAUGGUAAGCAAAGCAAAUGCCAUCAUUGGGAAAUUAGGAUAUAAUUCUGGACAGGGAGCCUGAGAAACUGCUACCACAUCCAGGGAAGGCAGCAGGCAUGCAAAUUCCCCACUCCAGAUCUGAGCAAGUCUCUUUUUGAGGUCCUAUAAUUGGAAUGAAUAGACUUAAAUUUUUUAAAGUGGGAAUUUGGGAUGGGGCAAUUGUGCUUUCAGCAGCCACUAAUUCCAGCUCAGUAGUAUAAAGCCACUACUUUUUAAAAACUCAUAGUUGGAUUUUAGUUGGGUAGGUGCUUACAUCAAUCCUUGCCUUUUGGUGCCCUCUUGAUGCUCUUAACUGAGUGUCCUAUAGGGCCCAAAGCAUUUAUUUUGGGAGAAAAAGAGUUUUUAAAGCAGGAUCAGGCUGCUGUAUACCACAGCUUAAACUAAUGGAAUGGGACUCCUGGUUUUACUUUGUUUGCUUUUGGAACUAAAGUCAUGAUUAAGAAGGAUGGCCCUGGGUAUUGGUAUUAUGCUGCUAGAGGUGAAUUUCUUGGACCUCUGCAAGAUGCACCAGCGAGAAAGCAUUUGCCAAGAAUGUUUUUAUUAAUCAAGAAUUAAAGGCAGAGGCGGCUCAAAAAUAAUCAACUACAAUCAUAGUUCCAACGAUAAAGGCUGCCGACCUACAAUGGGGAGGCUUAAUUCCAAAACUCACUGGUUGGAUUCCAGGAAACCAAAGUCCUUAUGUCUGAGGGAGUGUGAUUGUAA
rnacentral:ncRNA from 1 species